rnacentral:misc_RNA from 1 species
UGGGCUUGACAUACUGGUGCAAGCCGGUGGAAACAUCGGCCCCUCUUCGGAGCGCCAGCACAGGUGCUGCAUGGCUGUCGUCAGCUCGUGUCGUGAGAUGUUGGGUUAAGUCCCGCAACGAGCGCAACCCUCGCUCCCAGUUGCCAGCGGUUCGGCCGGGGACUCUGGGGGGACUGCCGGCGUUAAGCCGGAGGAAGGUGGGGAUGACGUCCAGGAACACCAAC